CUACGGACUUAAUUGGAUUGAGCCUUGGUAUGGAAACUUACUAAGUGAUAACUUUCAAAUUCAGAGAAACCCUGGAAUUAAUAAAAAUGGGCAAUCCUGAGCCAAAUCACGUUUUCCGAAAACAAACAAAGGUUCAGAAAGCGAAAAUAAAAAAGGAUAGGUGCAGAGACUCGAUGGAAGCUGUUCUAACGAAUGGAGUUGAUUGUCUUACAUUGGUAGAGGAAUCCUUCUAUCGAAACUUCAGAAAAGAGGAAGGAUAAACCUGUAUACAUAGAAGAAUUGGUAUGAAUCGAUUCCAUAUUGAAGAAAGAAUCAAAUAUUCAUUGAUCAAAGCAUUCACGCAUAAUCUGAUAGAUCUUUUGAAUAACUGAUGAAAUCGGACGAGAAUAAAGAUAGAGUCCCGUUCUACAUGUCAAUACCGG
rfam:Helianthus annuus linkage group 11, whole genome shotgun sequence.